rnacentral:rRNA from 1 species
UACGAGGGGUGCAAGCGUUGCUCGGAAUUAUUGGGCGUAAAGGGUAGGUAGGUGGUCUCAUUUGUCCGGGGUGAAAGCCUUGAGCUUAACUCAAGAAGUGCCCCGGAAACGGUGAGACUCGAGUACUGGAGAGGGUCGUGGAAUUCCCGGUGUAGCGGUGAAAUGCGUAGAUAUCGAGAGGAACACCUGCGGCGAAGGCGGGUUGCUGGGCUGACACUGACGCUGAACUGCGAAAGCUAGGGGAGCGAACGGG